rnacentral:rRNA from 1 species
GAUGAACGCUAGCUACAGGCUUAACACAUGCAAGUCGAGGGGAAACGACAUCGAAAGCUUGCUUUUGAUGGGCGUCGACCGGCGCACGGGUGAGUAACGCGUAUUCAACCUGCCCACCACUUGGGGAUAACCUUGCGAAAGUAAGACUAAUACCCAAUGACGUCUCUAGAAGACAUCUGAAGGAGAUUAAAGAUUUAUCGGUGAUGGAUGGGGAUGCGUCUGAUUAGCUUGUUGGCGGGGUAACGGCCCACCAAGGCGACGAUCAGUAGGGGUUCUGAGAGGAAGGUCCCCCACAUUGGAACUGAGACACGGUCCAAACUCCUACGGGAGGCAGCAGUGAGGAAUAUUGGUCAAUGGACGAGAGUCUGAACCAGCCAAGUAGCGUGCAGGAUGACGGCCCUAUGGGUUGUAAACUGCUUUUAUAAGGGAAUAAAGUGAGUCUCGUGAGACUUUUUGCAUGUACCUUGUGAAUAAGGACCGGCUAAUUCCGUGCCAGCCGCCGCAGUAA